rnacentral:rRNA from 1 species
CUACGGGCUGCUCCAGUGGGGAAUAUUGUACAAUGGAGGAAACUCUGAUGCGGCAACGCCGCGUGGAGGAUGACACUUUUCGGAGCGUAAACUCCUUUUAUAUAGGAAGAAGAUGACGGUACUAUAUGAAUAAGCGCCGGCUAACUCCGUGCCAGCAGCCGCGGUAAUACGGAGGGCGCAAGCGUUACUCGGAAUCACUGGGCGUAAAGAGCGUGUAGGCGGAUUAAAAAGUCAGAAGUGAAAUCCUAUAGCUUAACUAUAGAACUGCUUCUGAAACUCUUAAUCUAGAAUAUGGGAGAGGUAGAUGGAAUUUCUGGUGUAGGGGUAAAAUCCGUAGAGAUCAGAAGGAAUACCGAUUGCGAAGGCGAUCUACUAGAACAUUAUUGACGCUGAGACGCGAAAGCGUGGGGAGCAAACAGGAUUAGAUACCCUUGUAGUC